rnacentral:rRNA from 1 species
AAUGAACGUUGGCGGCAUGGAUUAGGCAUGCAAGUCGAGCGAGAAGUCUUAGUUUGACGCUUCGGUUGAUUUCUAAGAUGGACAGCGGCGAAAGGGUGAGUAACGCGUAGUUACCUGCCUCAGGGUCUGGAAUAGCCUCGGGAAACUGAGGGUAAUGCCAGAUAAUAUCUCCGGAUCAAAGGUGAGAUUCCGCCCUGAGAGGGGACUGCGUCCUACUAGCUUGUUGGUGGGGUAAAGGCCUACCAAGGCUCAGAUGGGUAGCGGGCGUGAGAGCGUGGCCCGUCACACUGGGACUGAGACACUGCCCAGACACCUACGGGUGGCUGCAGUCGAGAAUCUUCGGCAAUGCGCGAAAGCGUGACCGAGCAAUGCCGCGUGCGGGAUGAAGGCCCUCGGGUUGUAAACCGCGAAAGUUUGGGGGAAGGACUUGUGAAGAGCAAGUUUUGACCGAUCUUCAGUAAGACGGGCUAAGUUCGUGCCAGCAGCCGC